GGAACUCCCGGCUACCGCUCCCACCAGUGCUGAAAACUGAGGUCUCUUGCACCAGCUACCAGGGGCGUGGCUACCAGAGGGCAAGCAAAUUCGCUGGGGGUUCUCAGCCCCAAGCUCUACAAACUUAGGGUCUGAGGGAAUGGCAAACAGGGAGAGUGUGCCCAGGCGUUCAUGAAAACAGGGCUCCCAGGAGCAGCAGACCUGGCGUGUAGCCAGUAUUGUGGUGAGCAUCACUGGUGAGAGGGCCUGGCUUGAGGAAAAGUGGGGAAGUGACUAGAAAUAAGAGAAGGCCCUAGGCACUCAGGAUUGGAG
rnacentral:lncRNA from 1 species